rnacentral:lncRNA from 1 species
AAAUUUUGAAGAUUCUUGAUUUUCUUUCUUUUGUUUUGAGAUCCAAAUAAUACCAGUUCUAAUAUAAGGUAAAAGUCCGAGUCAGCCUUUUCCCGCUUUUUUUUAAAUCUCAAAUAUUUGGAAAAGGAGGUCCAUGACCUAUCAAUAUUUUUAGCUUAUCUUUAUCCUCAAUAUAUUCUCUACCAGCUUCUAGUAUCAAUUUUAAUUUCUUGAUUUCUUAAUUUUUACCUAACC